AUCCUUCAGGUUCUUAAACGUGAUGAGUGGGUUGGGCACGCGCAUGCGUGAAAUGUGCCGUCCCUAUUGUUACGACGGGGCACAUCACCCAUCUGAUU